UACGGAGGAUGCGAGCGUUAUCCGGAUUUACUGGGUGUAAAGGGAGCGUAGGCGGCUUAGUAAGUCAGAAGUGAAAGCCCGCAGCUCAACUGCGGGACUGCUUUUGAAACUGCCAAGCUAGAGUGUCGGAGAGGUAAGUGGAAUUCCUAGUGUAGCGGUAAAAUGCGUAGAUAUAUGGAAGAACACCAGUGGCGAAGGCGGCCGCCUGGCCUGUUGCUGACGCUGAGGCACGAAAGCGUGGGGAGCAAAUAGG
rnacentral:rRNA from 1 species